rnacentral:rRNA from 1 species
CGCAAUGGGCGAAAGCCUGAUGGAGCAACGCCGCGUGCAGGAUGAAUGCCUUCGGGUUGUAAACUGCUUUUAUUAGUGAAGAAUAUGACGGUAACUAAUGAAUAAGGGUCGGCUAACUACGUGCCAGCAGCCGUGGUCAUACGUAGGACCCAAGCGUUAUCCGGAAUUACUGGGCGUAAAGAGUUGCGUAGGUGGCAUGAUAAGUGGAGCGUGAAAGCGUGCGGCUCAACCGCAUAACCGCGUUCCAAACUAUUAAGCUUGAGUAUGAGAGGGGUAGAUGGAAUUUCUAGUGUAGGAGUGAAAUCCGUAGAUAUUAGAAGGAACACCGAUAGCGUAGGCAGUCUACUGGCUCAUUACUGACACUAAGGCACGAAAGCGU